rnacentral:rRNA from 1 species
CGGGAGAGUAAUACAUAGGAACGUACCAUUCGUGGGGAAUAACCACGGGAAACUGUGGCUAAUACCGCAUAACGACGCAAGUCUAAAGAAGGCCUCUGUUUACAAGCUUUCGCCGAUUCGAGCGGCCUAUGUCCCAUUAGCUAGUUGGUAGGGUAAAGGCCUACCAAGGCGACGAUGGGUAGCUGGUCUGAGAGGAUGAUCAGCCUCACUGGGACUGAGACACGGCCCAG